rnacentral:rRNA from 1 species
AAUGAACGCUGGCGGCGUGUCUUAAGCAUGCAAGUCGUGCGGCAAGGGGUAGCAAUACCCCUAGAGCGGCGGACUGGUGAGUAACGCGUGGGUGAUCUGCCUCUGGGAUGGGGAUAGCCAUUAGAAAUAGUGGGUAAUACCGAAUACGCUCAUCCGGCUGUGGCUGGAUGAGGAAAGGCGCUUCGGCGCCACCCGGAGAUGAGCCCGCGUCCCAUUAGCUAGUUGGUGAGGUAACGGCCCACCAAGGCGAUGAUGGGUAGGCGGCCUGAGAGGGUGUACGCCCACACUGGGACUGAGAUACGGCCCAGACUCCUACGGGAGGCAGCAGCUAAGAAUAUUCCGCAAUGGACGAAAGUCUGACGGAGCGACGCCGCGUGGAUGACGAAGGCCGAAAGGUUGUAAAAUCCUUUUGUUGGGGAAGAAUAACCAUGGGAGGGAAUGCCCGUGGGAUGACAUGAACCGACGAAUAAGUCCCGGCUAACUACGUGCCAGCAGC